GAGAACUUAGCAGAGAUGCUUUGGUGCCUUCGGGAACUCUGAGACAGGUGCUGCAUGGCUGUCGUCAGCUCGUGUUGUGAAAUGUUGGGUUAAGUCCCGCAACGAGCGCAACCCUUUAUCCUUUGUUGCCAGCGGUUCGGCCGGGAACUCAAAGGAGACUGCCGGUGAUAAACCGGAGGAAGGUGGGGAUGACGUCAAGUCAUCAUGGCCCUUACGGCCAGGGCUACACACGUGCUACAAUGGCGCAUACAAAGAGAAGCGACCUCGCGAGAGCAAGCGGACCUCAUAAAGUGCGUCGUAGUCCGGAUUGGAGUCUGCAACUCGACUCCAUGAAGUCGGAAUCGCUAGUAAUCGUAGAUCAGAAUGCUACGGUGAAUACGUUCCCGGGCCUUGUACACACCGCCCGUCACACCAUGGGAGUGGGUUGCAAAAGAAGUAGGUAGCUUAACCUUCGGGAGGGCGCUUACCACUUUGUGAUUCAUGACUGGGGUGAAGUCGUAACAAGGUAGGCGUAGCGAG
rnacentral:rRNA from 1 species